rnacentral:rRNA from 1 species
GAUGAACGCUGGCGGCGUGCUUAACACAUGCAAGUCGAACGAAGCACUUUUGAUUGAUUUCUUCGGAAAGAGAGAGACUGCGACUGAGUGGCGGACGGGUGAGUAACGCGUGGGUAACCUGCCUCAUACAGGGGGAUAACAGUUAGAAAUGACUGCUAAUACCGCAUAAGCACACAGCUUCGCAUGAAGCAGUGUGAAAAACUCCGGUGGUAUGAGAUGGACCCGCGUCUGAUUAGGUAGUUGGUGGGGUAACGGCCCACCAAGCCGACGAUCAGUAGCCGACCUGAGAGGGUGACCGGCCACAUUGGGACUGAGACACGGCCCAAACUCCUACGGGAGGCAGCAGUGGGGAAUAUUGGGCAAUGGGCGCAAGCCUGACCCAGCAACGCCGCGUGAAGGAAGAAGGCUUUCGGGUUGUAAACUUCUUUUGUCAGGGACGAGUAGAAGACGGUACCUGACGAAUAAGCCACGGCUAACUACGUGCCAGCAGCCGCGGUAAUACGUAGGUGGCAAGCGUUGUCCGGAUUUACAGGGUGUAAAGGGCGUGUAGCCGGGAGGGCAAGUCAGAUGUGAAAUCCACGGGCUCAACUCGUGAACUGCAUUUGAAACUACUCUUCUUGAGUAUCGGAGAGGCAAUCGGAAUUCCUAGUGUAGCGGUGAAAUGCGUAGAUAUUAGGAGGAACACCAGUGGCGAAGGCGGAUUGCUGGACGACAACUGACGGUGAGGCGCGAAAGCGUGGGGAGCAAACAGGAUUAGAUACCCUGGUAGUCCACGCUGUAAACGAU